rfam:Tumebacillus flagellatus strain GST4 Contig029, whole genome shotgun sequence.
ACAUGUGCGGCGAUCGCGCGUCCGCUUGACGGACGUGAGGAAAGUCCACGCUCGCCUGAGCUGAGAUGCUCAGAGUUCGGAUGCCUGGCCAAUCAAUAAGCCAGGGCACCCCGCGAGGGGUGACGGCGGGGAACGCAUGCUACGUCCUUCGGGAUAUGCUGCUACUACCCUGAAAGUGCCACAGUGACGAAUCUCCUUGGAAACGAGGAGGGUGGAACGAGGUAAACCCCAUCUGCGAGAAACCCAAAUUAUGGUCGGGGAACUGCUCCUAGGGAAUGUAGUACUGGAACCGAAGAGUGGAUCGACACAUGUCGAUAGAUAGAUGGUUGCCACCCGUAGUGCGAGGUCUAAUCAGCCGCCUGAAGCACAGGGGAACAAAACGUGGCUUACAACA